rnacentral:rRNA from 1 species
AGUGGACGCUGGCGGUAGGCCUAACACAUGCAAGUCGAACGGCAGCACAGUAAGAGCUUGCUCUUACGGGUGGCGAGUGGCGGACGGGUGAGGAAUACAUCGGAAUCUACUUUUUCGUGGGGGAUAACGUAGGGAAACUUACGCUAAUACCGCAUCCGACCUACGGGUGAAAGCCGGGGAUCUUCCGACCUUGCGCGAUUGAAUGAGCCGAUGUCGGAUUAGCUAGUUGGCGGGGUAAAGGCCCACCAAGGCGACGAUCCGUAGCUGGUCUGAGAGGAUGGUCAGCCACACUGGAACUGAGACACGGUCCAGACUCCUACGGGAGGCAGCAGUGGGGAAUAUUGGACAAUGGGCGCAAGCCUGAUCCAGCCAUACCGCGUGGGUGAAGAAGGCCUUCGGGUUGUAAAGCCCUUUUGUUGGGAAAGAAAAGCAGCAGGUUAAUACCCCGCUGUUCUGACGGUACCCAAAGAAUAAGCACCGGCUAACUUCGUG